rnacentral:rRNA from 1 species
UACGAAGGGGGCUAGCGUUGCUCGGAAUCACUGGGCGUAAAGCGCACGUAGGCGGAUUGUUAAGUCAGGGGUGAAAUCCUGGAGCUCAACUCCAGAACUGCCUUUGAUACUGGCAAUCUCGAGUCCGGGAGAGGUGAGCGGAACUGCGAGUGUAGAGGUGAAAUUCGUAGAUAUUCGCAAGAACACCAGUGGCGAAGGCGGCUCACUGGCCCGGUACUGACGCUGAGGUGCGAAAGCGUGGGGAGCAAACAGG